CCUUCCCCACAGGGGCAGCUUCACUUCCUGCCCUUCCUUCUCCCCUCCCCUCUUGGCCCUUCUUCGAUGGGGUCUCUGAACAGGAAAUGAGCAGGGGCUUCCUCCCCUCUCUGUCUUCCAGGCUCUGGGAUCUGGCCUUGCCUCCUACAUCAAUGUAGUCUGCAGCUGGCCCAGCUUGUGGGGCAAUGACCUCAUCCUGUCAAACCGAGAAGUGCUGGCUCUCAGUGAUGCUUAGAUGGAAAACCACACACCCCUCAUGGAGGAAAAUCAUCCCCAAAGGAGGUGUAAGGAUCCUGGACUCUAUUGCCUGCAAGAAGCUUCAGCCACCUUCACAGUCAGGCUAGGGCUCACUGUCCAUUGUGGAGGUGAAAAGCGGAUGGGAGCUGCUGGAUUGGCCUUGAUAUGCCAUGUCCUUGU